GUGAAACAACUGUGUCGUAUCACCGGCUGCAACUUCAGUCAAUGAACUACAUGCAACAACUGUGUACGCUCAACCAAAAAGACAAAUUAUUCUUCAUAUUCUACGCAGGAAGAGCAACUUCUAAUCAACAUCUCCCACUAAGCAAGUACUUGUAAGAGAUCAACUUCUCAUACCCCAUAAUUUGUCUUUGUAAACAAGUACAUUCUCACAACGCUAUAACACUCUUCUUCAAGACAGAAACCCCGCACCCCGCCUCUUCAACUCAACCCCCACCACUCUCAAAUAAUAGAGCAUUCCAUAAUAGGAGCAAUAAUAAAAGGCAUCAGCAGUAGUAAACACACUGACUGUAUCCAACAAACAAAGAAGAGAUCGCAGAUUUUGAAACAACAGUCUGAUCAAACAAACACACAACAUACACAAUACCUAUUUUUGCAUAUAAGUUCCAGUAAACAUGCUGAUCAGAGCUUGCAGGCAUAUCACAUAUUUUAUUUUAUUUUUAUAGGUGAAUCUUAUAACAAAAGUAAGCACUUUUGAAUAAGAAU
rnacentral:misc_RNA from 1 species